CUCAGUCGUCAGGGCCCGGCCAAUCCGGAGGGCGCUCCGCGCGUGGUGGGGGCCAGGAUCGCGUCUGGCCUGCAGUGCGCAGAGGACGCGGCGGGAGCAUGUACCGGCUCCUGAGCCGGAGCCUGGGCCAAGGCCUCCUGCGGGCCGCGGGGCGGCAGUGCCGGGGCUGCUCCGCGCGCCUGCUCCCGGGGCUGGCAGGAGGUCCGGGGCCCGAGGUGCAGGUGCCGCCAUCCCGAGUCGCGCCGCACGGCCGGGGCCCAGGCCUGCUGCCGCUGCUGGCAGCGCUCUCCUGGUUCUCGAGGCCCGCUGCGUCAGAGGAGGAGGAGCAGCAGGGAGCCGACGGAGCCGCUGCCGAGGACGGGGCGGACGAGGCCGAGGCAGAGAUCAUCCAGCUGCUGAAGCGAGCCAAGUUGAGCAUUAUGAAAGAUGAGCCAGAAGAGGCUGAGUUAAUUUUGCAUGACGCUCUUCGUCUCGCCUAUCAGACUGAUAACAAGAAGGCCAUCACUUACACUUAUGAUUUGAUGGCCAACUUAGCAUUUAUACGGGGUCAGCUUGAAAAUGCUGAACAACUUUUUAAAGCAACAAUGAGUUACCUCCUUGGAGGGGGCAUGAAGCAGGAGGACAAUGCAAUAAUUGAAAUUUCCCUAAAGCUGGCCAGUAUCUAUGCUGCGCAGAAUAGACAGGAAUUUGCUGUUGCUGGCUAUGAAUUCUGCAUUUCAACCCUAGAGGAAAAAAUUGAAAGAGAAAAGGAAUUAGCAGAAGACAUUAUGUCAGUGGAAGAGAAAGCCAAUACCCACCUCCUCUUGGGCAUGUGCUUAGACGCCUGUGCUCGCUACCUUCUGUUCUCCAAGCAGCCGUCACAGGCACAAAGGAUGUAUGAGAAAGCUCUGCAGAUUUCUGAAGAAAUACAAGGAGAAAGACACCCACAGACCAUUGUGCUGAUGAGUGACCUGGCUACUACCCUGGAUGCACAGGGCCGCUUUGAUGAGGCCUAUAUUUAUAUGCAAAGGGCAUCAGAUCUGGCAAGACAGAUAAAUCAUCCUGAGCUACACAUGGUACUCAGUAAUCUAGCUGCAGUUUUGAUGCACAGAGAACGAUAUACACAAGCAAAAGAGAUCUACCAGGAAGCACUGAAGCAAGCAAAGCUGAAAAAAGAUGAAAUUUCUGUACAACACAUCAGGGAAGAGUUGGCUGAGCUGUCAAAGAAAAGUAGACCUUUGACUUAAAUUCUGUCAAGCUCUAAAUCCAUUUUUGUGUAGGGAGAAUAAUGUCUAGUAAUGCGGAAGAAUAGCUAUCAUUCCUGCCUCUGUGGCACCCAGAUCAAUGGCUUAAAUCUGUCGUUUUUGAUAUUCAGGUUUCCUCAGUUUAGCCUUAGUGAAGGAGGGGUUGUAUACACUGCCAUUUUUGUAUUUUAAAGGAAAAAUGACUUUCAUUCCCAACUGAUUAUGACCUUUCAGGAUGCUGUCAAGUGAUGUUUCCAGUUGUAACACGUGACUUGGUGCUGUCCCUGCUGGUCUAAGUAGAACUAUAGAUUAAUAUGGGCUGGCGUUCCUGUGCGCUGUGGGUGUGGUGAUUGAACCUGGCAUUUCUACCUAAGUUUUUGGUCUACUGAUUUGCUGCCCUCUCUUCUCUUUAUCAAUAUCUGGCAAACUGACCAGAAUUACCUUCCUCAUGGCAAAGGGGGAUUAUGGUGAAUUGUUGUUCUUAUAGUCUGUUUCAUGAAGCACAAUGUGGAAUUUAAUACAUAAAAGAGAAAAAUAUCUUAGUUUGUUACCAGCAUCCAGCAUGAAGUUUUAAAGUGGGGAUUAGGCACGUGACAGUAUAGCACCCAUUUGAAUUUAAAUAAAAGUGAACCAUAUUUAUCUGAUUAUAUAAAACUAAAAACUAAGAAUGAUGUAACCUUUUGUCUGUGUUAUCUGAACACUCUACUUCCUUUGCAGCCUGAGUCACACAACUGAGUCAUCUCAAGUACUCUUUAAGGACACACAGCCCAGGCUGUUCUGAGUCAGAAUAGGCCCCUGCAGGAUCAGGAGACUAGUAGAUGGUAGAUCACAGAAAUAAAGCAGAUCGUCCUUUCCUCAGCUGCCACCACAGUGCUUGGUCCUUCCAAGGAAGCUAAGGCCACGUUGGGGUGAGGCCCUCACUUCAUCCGGCAACUACCACCACGUCCGGCAGCGCCAGCCCCACACCUGCCCACACCAUUGCCUCUGUCUCCGAGCUCGCCUGCAUCUACUCAGCCCUCACUCUGCAUGACAAUGAGGUGACCAUCACGGAGGAUAAGAUCAAUGCCCUCAUUAAAGCAGUUGGUGUAAAUGUUGAACCUUUUUGGUCUAGCUUGUUUGCAAUGGCCCUGGCCAAUGUCAACACUGGGAGCCUCAUCUACAAUGUAGGGGCUGGUGGACCUGCUCCAGCAGCUGGUGCUGCACCAGUGGGAUCCUGCCCACUCCACUGCUGCUGUUCCAGCUGAGGAGAAUUAAGUGGAAGCAAAGAAAGAAGAAUCUAAGGAGUCUGAUGAUGACAUGGGCUUUGGUCGUUUUGACUAAAUCUCUUAUAAUGUGUUCAAUACAAAGCUGAACUUAAGAAAAAAAAAAGAAUAAACCAGACUAUGGUGUAUCCAAAGUCUCUCUAUCAAGGGGACUGAGGAAAAGACUGAUAAGACUGGGGGGAUAGUACAAGUGAGUGCUGAGAGAGCGCGAGGAGGUUCUGAUUAAUACUUGCAUAUCAACCCAGAGGAAAGGUUCUGCCACAGAACAUUAGCUAGAGUAUUUACCAACAAUCUGGCUAAAAUGCUACGAGUAUGGAACUGUUAGAAGCCAGUUGGUCCAUCAUUAGCAACAUGGACUCUGGAGUUGGAAUGCCUGGGUUUGAACUGUAGCCUCAUUACUUACUAGAUAUGUAACCUGAGCCAACUCUUAAACUUGAGUCUGUUUCUUCAUCUACAAAAUGGAGAUAAUUGUAAUAUGUAGGGUUGUUGUGAGGACUAAAUGAGAUUAUAUCUACA